AAUGAAGUGCCUGAAAUUAAAGGGUUAUCUUGAUAGGGUAAAUUAUGUGGUUACACCUUCAUUA
rnacentral:tRNA from 1 species